CGUGUAGGCUGCUCGGAAAGUCGGAUGUGAAAGCCCUGGGCUCAACCUAGGAAGUGCAUUCGAAACUUCCAAGCUGGAGUGCUGGAGAGGAAGGCGGAAUUCUCGGUGUAGAGGUGAAAUUCGUAGAUAUCGAGAGGAACACCGGUGGCGAAGGCGGCCUUCUGGACAGUUACUGACGCUGAGACGCGAAAGCGUGGGAGCAAACA
rnacentral:rRNA from 1 species